AAAUCCAAUGAACUAUACGUAUCAGUUUCUAUGACUACAAUGAACAAAACAUUAGUCGCGUUCGUUGUGGUUUGUUGCUAUUCCCUAUAUCGUGAUAAUUUGUCAUCACUGUCAUUAAUAUGUACUAUACGUAGACGAUGCGUUGUCAAUAAUUGUAUUUUCAGUGAUCAGACAUCUCUUAUUUAAUAUUUAAUUUACAAUUAACUUGUGACUAACGUCUAACAUUCUAAUACAAGAGUCCAUUUUCGAGAAAUGGAUUCCGAAAAAAACGAUCCCGGUAAAAUUGGAGAACAGUUGAUUACUCGGUGGCGACAAAACCAGGAAGAUGUGCUCAUUACCUCGAACAAAAUCGAUAGGCCGCCGACGGGUUUCGUGAGACCUCAAAGCAAGUUUGAACGACCAAGGUCUCGACGUGGACAUAAGGAUGAAUCGUCGGAUUAUGUCAAUUCGACUAUGUAUCGUUCAGCAACACCAGGACGCCUUGCUCUCGCGAGACCACCAUCGGCGUCUCUUUUGUCGAAUCGUGCACCAACCGCGGGUCCAGGCGGAUUCAGGAUAGGUUCCGGACUGAGUCGUUCUGGCACAGGACUAGCAACCGCUAAGCAGUUCAAUGUCAGUGUGUUGGAUAGACCGAUUACCCAGCAUGGAAUAGCAGGCAUACGACCAGGUACCACCAGAGGUUUACCGAUGACGAGGCAGAUUCAAGACAAGAGGUACUACGAGGGUCUGCUGCAGCUGAAAAUAAGAGAACUAACGCAAGAGAUCGGAACGAUAAUGAAGGACAUUGAAGUGCAGAACAAGGAGAAAGCUACUUUCUUGCAUUACGAUAAGAGAGCCAAAAGCCUUGCCGCAGAGUUGACGAAUCUACAGGCUGAAUUAGCGGAUUACAAUCUUGUCGUGGAUAAAAUGACUCUGGAUGUGACCAAGGAGGUGAUCGAAGAGGAGGCUAAGGAACUGGCGCUGAUGAAUGAACGUAGGACGGCAGAAGUCGAGCGGAUGUUUGAGCAACGGAAGCAGAUGGAACAAAAACUGCAUACGACAGAAAAGGAUAUCGAGAAUGAGAGAAAAAGGACCGAACAUAUCAUUGAGAGUAUGGAUCCACCCACAAAAGAGAAAUACGAUAAUCUAUUCCGACAGAAAACAGAAUUGCAGGAACAAGCACAGCAGAUGCAGCGCGAAUUGGACCAACUGUCAAAAGAGCAAGCGCGUUUGGAGGAGCAGAUCGCUCUCUCUCCAUUAAAGCAAGAGGCGGUGAAACUGCAAGUGAGAAUCAUCGAGGCAGAGGAAAAGCGGGACAAACUACGGGAGGAAGAACGCAAAAAAUUAUCACCAGAAGAUGAGAAGGAGCAACUGUUACAGAAAAUCAAGCGUGACAAUACUGACAUUGCUGCGACAGAGGCGCAAAUAGUUGAGAAGGAGAAAAAGGUGGCAGAACUCGAGCAACAAUUGGAACAGCUGGAGACUGACAUGGAGGAUAAUCAAUUAGAAAAACAAACCAAAUAUCAGGAAUUGCGUAAGCGUGAGGAGAUGAUGGAGGAGUUUAUGUCCACAUAUGAACAGAGCAAACAAGAGGAAAUGGAGAAACUGGAAAAACUCGAGCAGGAGAUUGUUGACAAGCUAGAGACCAUGGCGAACGCGGUAGAGAACAACGAGUACCUCACGGAAGCUGAAGAAACAGCUAUUUUACGUGAUAAAUUCCCAUACAAUGAUUACGAAACCGUACAUCGCGAUGAUGACUUUGAAGAGCUAAAGAAAGAUUAUGCAACUAUGCAACAGACAUUUAACAGACUAAGGAUUCUAGAAGAGAAGCUGCAGCUAGAAUCCAAAUUGAUGAAAGAGAAGCUGAAGAAACAACAGAGCGAAUUAAUUGUCCUAGAGGAUUUGGAUGGCUUAAAAACACGAAAUGAACUCGAACGAGACGAAUUAAUCACCGAACGAGAAGGACUGGUGUCCGAAGAGUCGAUCUGCGAGGACGAGCUCAAGUCACUGUAUACGGAAUAUAACGAACUUAAAGAGCGAGUGGAGAAAUAUGCGAUUUAUCCAGAGAUCAGUAAUUUAGAAGAUAAAUUAGAAAAAUUGAAAGAAGAUAAUAAAAAAAUCGAGGAAUUCAUAACUAAAGAAAAGGAGCGCGUUAAUUAUGAGCCGGUCAAAGAGAAAGCUUUCGAACUAAUUAACAGUUAUGGAGCGCUACUCCGAGAGGAUCUCAAAUCUCUUUAUUAGAUAAUAUGCUUUACGCUAUAUCUAUAUAACUAAUAUUAUUUCUAUAUUCAUCUCCUAAUAUAGUAUUUAUUUGAAAGUUAAUGAAUAGUAGUCAACAAUAAGACGAUAGAAAUUCUCGGAAUAAAAAAUUUUAUUUUUUCAUACUUUAUUAUACAGAUUGCCAAGUUUAUUUUAAUUUCUAUUAUUUGGUUAUUUUAUAUAUCUUUGGAUUAUCGUUAUCCGACAUGUGUUGUCCUUAAGAUUCCUGUUUAUUCACUACUCUCUCAGAUUAUGAUGUCAGAAGCGAGAAAAAAAUGCAUAAUAAAAAUUCUUAUAAAAUAUAUUAAAAUCAAAAUAAGUGUUGCAAUAAAACAACACUCACAAUUGAUAGAACUGAUUUUUUUAAUAUACCGAAAACAAUUUCUUUUUAUUUCAUUAAUUAAGAGGAUGCUGGAGUGAACUUGAUCGAUGUCGAUAGUUAAAAAUUUUUUAAAUUCCAAAUAAAGUCGAUAAUAGUGACAACUUUAAUUAAUUGUUUAUAUUAUUCUGUCUGACUCAAAUGCAUACAUCUGUUCUUAUCUAAUACAUUGCGCCAUCUCUUGCAAAAUCGAGCACCUACUAACUAGACACUAUUAUUGCUUUGUUUAUUACCAUUUUAAUUUGUUCAGCAUUUGUACACCUAAUUUGCAGAUCAAUAUAAAUCUUUUGUUUUUAAUUUUAUUUUCAUAAAGUUAGAGCUGUAAAAUUUUUAUACUAAACGUGGAGUUCUUAAAGUUAGACUUAUAACUUCUGCACACUGAACGUCAUGAAGUUGAUAUUAAAUCUUUCCUCGUGCAAGAAAAUAUUCAAUACCAACUUCUUCUCAUGACGCGAAACAGACUGCGCACUUAGAGACAACGCGAAGCAAAAGUAGGCGUGGUUCGGCCAAAUUGAGCACACCUGCGAUCCUUCUAC